AAGGCAUGGUGGCAAAUGCUUGUUAUCCCCACACUGAUGCUGAGGUGCUUAUAGACCAGAGAGUCAAGAGUUUGAGGCCACCCUGGGCUACAUAGUGAGGCCUGUGUGAUACAAAGAAGCAAAGCCAAACAAACAAAGUGCUCAAUAAGAGAGUCUGGAGUCUCUUACUACAUUAUAAAGUAAGACCCAGAGAGGUGAUCGGUCCUCUCCAACGUUGAAGACUGGAGGUGAAGCUGGAAACUAUUUCAAUUUCUGUGGAGAUUAUUUAUUUAGUUUUAGGAAACAUUUCUCAUCAUCCCUUUUUGUUAAAUUCCUAAGCGGAUUUCUGAGCCUCUUGCCAGACUGAGCCAAAAGGACCCGAGAGUUGGACCAGAAAUGUCCUGGACAGCUGCGGUCCUGGGGCUUCUGCAAGUGCUGGUGUGAUGUCUUUAGAAGCACAGCAUGGUCAUUACUCUGGUUUCCCCAUCUUUUGUUGUGGGAAGACGCUUUCUGGCGAGGACAGUCUUGAAGCUUUGCCUUGCGUAUUAGCACUUUGCAGGUCAUCUGGCACUGGCUUCUGCAGCUCUUUUAGCUUCAGGUCAUUGCCAUUUUCAAAUAUUAUUAUUCAUUGACUUAUAGACUGCACAUUCUGAGCAAUAACUAAGAGUAUAUACCAGGAGCAGGUGGAAACCCACAUGGCCAAGUUAGAACAGUCAAGAAGCCUUUUCUUUUUCUUCUGUUGAAAUACUGUAUAUACAUUUUCUGUGGAAGUAUCUGAGGUUCUAAUUCAGAUUUAUGCUAUCUUCACAUAGGAGUAUACAUCUUUUAGGCUAUAAUAUGGAUUAUUUAAAGCAUUUUGGUGUUGGGAAAUGUUUUUCUUAAAACAAAUAUUUCAGAGGGGUGCUAGGUAGUGAGGCAGGACUGCAGGGUAGCUCACAUGCAGCUUCAUAAGAUUUCAGUUACUAGUUACAUGUCCAGGAACUAAAAUUUCAUAGUUUCCCUAGGAAUAGCCUUUUUUGAGACAGUAUCUCAUAUAGUCCAUCCCAGCACACAUCUCAGACCCAGUCACUAUUGCUCACAUUUAAGGCAGGGUCUUGCUAUCCUGGGUAGGUUCGGGUACACUCUGCAGGCCAGGGUGGCCUCAGACAUGAGAUCCUCCUACUCAACCUCCCAAGUGCUGAGGUUUCAGGCAUGUGCCAAACAGCCCAUCUGGGACAAUUUGUUUUGAGCAUGGAUAUUUGCCAACCAAAUGACUAUAUGAAUAAUAGCCUCCCAAGGGUUCAGUGGACUGCUCAAAAAACCACUGCACUACCUUACCCUGGUGAGAGUGUGCAGCAAUGAACGCAUCACUGGCCUGUUCCAGGACCACCCCUCACAGUAACAAAACAACACUCAGAGCCAAAGGCCUGAAGCUCUCUCUGUUCUCAACACCCACAACCAGCAAUGUGACUCCACCUCCAGGGGAUCUAGCGUCCUCUUCUGGUGGCCAUAGGCACCUGCACACACAUGGCAAACACAGAGAGACUCUCAGACAUAUACAUUCUAAUGUAAAUAAGUAAACAGUCUUUCAGGAGCUCAUGACUAGAGCAGAGGGAAACAGAUGGCUGUCAGAGCGUGGGACCACUCUAGCCACAGAAGUGCUGCUUCUUAGCAUCCUUCUUUCUGUCCUUCUCUCCUCUCUUCUCUCUCUCUCUUUCUUUCUUUCUUUCCUUCCUUCCUUCCUUCCUUCCUUCCUUCCUUCCUUCCUUCUUUCUUUCUUCCCUUCUUUCUCUCUCUCUCUCUCUCUCUCUCUCUCUCUCUCUCUCUCUCUCUCUCUCUCUCUCUCUCUCUCUGAGACACAAUGUAGUCCUGGCUGCCUGGAAUUCUCUAUGUAAACUAAGCACUAGGCUGACAAUCUCUUUUCUGCUGGGUCUUGAAAAGUCCUCUGCCACUGAACCAUACCUUUAACCCUCCCUCAUCCCCAAAAGUGUCUUUGAAUUGCUUCCUGUAGCAGUUUUCUCACCUAUUAGGCACCAGGCUGUCAUGUCACAGUAAAGCUGAUUAGAGGUCUCCUAUUCCCAAUCAUGAGGCUAUACUUUCCUUAACUCAGAUGUUUCUAAGGCUCAUACAUUUCAUACAGAUCUCUUUCAGUGGCCGCCUGCGGCAGACAGAGAAUAUCGUCUCCGUGGUUCUUAAACUUUAGCAGAGGAAUCACUGGGAUGGGGGUGCAGAGUUUGAAGCCUGACUUCCACAAAUUCAGAUUAGUAGAUUUGAGGAUUGGGUUCUGGAACCCAUAUUCUUAGUUCCUACUGCAGUUAGAGAAACAUCAUCUAUGUGUUCACCAUGUGCAGUUUCGUUCCCAAGGCUGCCUUCAUUGCUAAGGCCAGUAACACUCUAAACACUACUACUACUAAGACAGAGGCAAUGUUUUAAAGCCAUAGGAAAUGUCUUGACUCCCCACGACUGGUUCUGAAAACUCUCCAGAGUUUUACAGCUCUUGCUUUUAUUUUCCUCUGGGGAAGCUGUCUGUGGUUAUGUUGGUCAUGAGAAACAAGGUUUUAUUUGUUCAAGAAUGUCUGGAAUAGCUGUGACUUUUUCACUGCUCUGGUUGAAGACCUCCUCAUUGUCCAUCUGGAUAGUCACUGACUUAUUCAUAGUCUCAACUCAUCCCCCUACUCCCUGGGUUCAAACUGCCAGUAGAGAGGAUAGAAGCUUUUGUAGGAUUUGAGACACAAAAUAGUCAGCGGUAGCUCAGAGAAGUGAUUCUGGCAAGACAAAUUUUAAAAAUGGAGUUGAUGCAAGUGUAAUAGUCUCCAGGGCAUGUGUGUUAAAAGCCCUGUGUGUAAAAUGUUUUAUGAGGCUAUAGCUCAAUUGGUAGAGUGCUUGCCUAACAUACACAAAGACUUGGGUGCAACCCCCAAGACUACAGAAAAGCAAGUGUGGUAGUGCAUCCUAGCACUUGGGAGACAGAAGAGCAGAAGUUCAAGGCCAAAGCUAGAGAGAUGGCUCACUGGUCCAGAGAACUUGGGUUAGAUUCCCAUUAUCCACAGUAUAUUCACAACCAUCUAUAACUCUAAUUCCUGGAGUAUUUGACAGACUUUCUGGCUUCUAAGAGUAUCAGGUGUUCACAUGGUAUAUAGACAUACAUGCAGGCUAAACACCACACACAUUAAAAAUAAAGGUUGGAGCUGGAGAGAUGGCUUAGAGGUUAAGAGUACUGACUGCUUUUCCAGAGGUCCUGAGUUCAAUUCCUAGCAACUCUAUAAUGGGAUCCGAUGUCCUCUUCUGGUGUGUCUGACAUACCAAAAAAAAAAAAAAUUUUUUUUUUAAAAAAAGUUUAAGAUCAGCCAGGCAUGGUAGCGCACGCCUUUAAUCCCAGCACCCGGGAGGCAGAGGCAGGUGGAUUUCUGAGUUCAGCUAUACAGAGAAACCCUGUCUCGAAUAAAUAAAUAAAUAAAUAAAUAGCUUAAGAUCAUCUUCAGUUAUAUAGAGUUUGAGUCCAGCCUGGAAUAUAUGAUACCGUCUUUAAAU
rnacentral:lncRNA from 1 species